CCUACGGGCGGCAGCAGUGAGGAAUAUUGGUCAAUGGUCGGGAGACUGAACCAGCCAAGCCGCGUGAGGGAUGAAGGUACAGAGUAUCGUAAACCUCUUUUGUCAGGGAACAAAGGCGGGGACGCGUCCCCGGAUGAGUGUACCUGAAGAAAAAGCAUCGGCUAACUCCGUGCCAGCAGCCGCGGUAAUACGGAGGAUGCGAGCGUUAUCCGGAUUUGUUGGGUUUAAGGGGUGCGCAGGCGGUCUGUUCAGUCAGCGGUCAAAGCCCGGGGCUCAACCCCGGCCCGCCGUUGAAACUGGCAGUCUCGAGUUGGAGAGAAGUAUGCGGAAUGCGCGGUGUAGCGGUGAAAUGCAUAGAUAUCGCGCAGAACUCCGAUUGCGAAGGCAGCAUGCCGGCUCCACACUGACGCUGAGGCACGAAAGCGUGGGUAUCGAACAGGAUUAGAUACCCGGGUAGUC
rnacentral:rRNA from 1 species